rnacentral:rRNA from 1 species
UACGAAGGGUGCAAGCGUUACUCGGAAUUACUGGGCGUAAAGCGUGCGUAGGCGGUUGCUUAAGUCAGAUGUGAAAGCCCUGGGCUCAACCUGGGAAUGGCAUUUGAAACUGGGCAGCUAGAGUGUGAUAGAGGAUGGCGGAAUUCCUGGUGUAGCGGUGAAAUGCGCAGAUAUCAGGAGGAACACCAGUGGCGAAGGCGGAUCUCUGGGCCGAUAUUGACGCUGAGGAGCGAAAGCGUGGGGAGCAAACAGG